UACGAGGGGGGGCGAGCGUUUGUUCGGAAUUAUUGGGCGUAAAGGGUGCGUAGGCGGUUUGGUAAGUCUUAUGUGAAAUCUACAGGCUCAACUUGUAGUCUGCAUGAGAAACUGCCGGGCUUGAGUAUGGGAGAGGUGAGUGGAAUUCCUGGUGUAGCGGUGAAAUGCGUAGAUAUCAGGAGGAACACCUGUGGCGAAAAGCGGCUCACUGGACCAUAACUGACGCUGAUGCACGAAAGCUAGGGGAGCAAACAGG
rnacentral:rRNA from 1 species